rnacentral:lncRNA from 1 species
UGCGCGCCCGGCGCUCGCUCGCUGCCUAAAGAUGUAAACAAUAGAGCACGCUCUGCGCUUUGGCGCGCCGGAGCUCUGGCUCCUAAAAAUAUUGAGGGGCUUUCGUUUCUGGGGCUGGGCGCUGGGCACUUGCUCUCCUGGCUCCCAAAGAUGUUAGCAAUAAAGUUUUGCCGCAGAAGAUUUUGGUCUGUGGUGUUCUUCCUGGCCGGUCGUGAGAACGCGUCUAAUAACAAUUGGUGCCGAAUUCCGGGACGAGAAAUUCCGGGACGAGAAAAAAUCCGGGAAGAAAAAACCUGGGAGGAAACUCGGGACGGGAGUUUCACCGGCGCAGGGAAGAUCCCUCAUUCCAGAACCAGAACUGCGGGUCGCGGUAAUAAAGGUUCCCGUAAAGCAGACUGUUAAGAAGGAUUCAACUGCAUGAAUUCAGAACUUUUCAGCUGGGGAACGGCGGUAACCCGUAAGUAUAGCUUUACGAGGUAAGCCUGGCCUUGAACUUUCUAAGGAAAUUCAAGACAGUCUAUCAGAAGUAAAGUGGAAAAUAGCUUUAUAAGGUAUGUUUGGCCUUGAACUUUCUCUAGUGUUAGAAGCCCUUUUGUUCCUUUUCACAUGUUAUCAAGUGGUUAAGGCAGGGCGGAUUCUGGAUGAAGUUCAGGACAAUCUAUCAGAAGUAAAGCGGGGAGAGAGAAUAGGAGCAAAGAGAAAAUAUGGUACACAAAAUAAGUAUACAGGCCUUUCCAAGGGUCUUGAACCUGAGGAAAAGUUUAGGUCAGGUAAGAAUACCUGGGGAGAGAUUAGAAGGAAGGAGAAGGAAAAAGAAAAGAAAAAAGAUCAAUUAGAGAAGCCAGUUCUUAGUAGUUCUGAAUCAGAUGAAAAGGCUAUUAGGGCCUGGAAGGCGCUCUCCCGAGCAGGUGAAGCCACUGGACAAUAAUGACAGAGGCAGGCUCUUGCAGCCUACAAGGUCUUAUUGUCCACCCUAGAGUUGUAGAUCAAGAUUAUAAAGGGGAACUUCAGGUUCUCUGUUCUUGUCCUCAAGUUGUCUUUUCUAUAUCACAAGGGGACAGAAUAGCUCAACUAAUAAUUUUGCCAAGCCUACAUGGCUGUUUUUUCUUCCUCUGGUAUUCCUAGAGCUGCAAGAGGGAUUAGUUCUACUGAAAAUGAUUCUGAAUACUUAAUAAUGCCUUUAGAUUGUUGUCAAAUUUUAUCUACUCACGUAGGGGUAAACCCUCGUGGCGUCAGGCCAUUACAGGUCUGACAAAUGGAUGUCACGCAUAUUUCCUCCUUUGAGAGAAAUCAAUAUUUACAUGUUUAGAAGAAACCCACUUAAAAAUGGGAUUGUGGUAUAUACUGAUGGAUCAAAAACUGGCAUAGGUGCCUAUGUGGCUAAUAGUAGGGUAGUAUCCAAACAAUAUAAUGAAAAUUCACCUCAAGUGGUAGAAUGUUUAGUGGUUUUAGAAGUUUUAAAAACCUUUUUAGAACCCCUUAAUAUUGUGUCAGAUUCCUGUUAUGUGGUUAAUGCAGUAAAUCUUUUAGAAGUGGCUGGAGUGAUUAAGCCUUCCAGUAGAGUUGCCAAUAUUUUUCAGCAGAUACAAUUAGUUUUGUUAUCUAGAAGAUCUCCUGUUUAUAUUACUCAUGUUAGAGCCCAUUCAGGCCUACCUGGCCCCAUGGCUCUGGGAAAUGAUUUGGCAGAUAAGGCCACUAAAGUGGUGGCUGCUGCCCUAUCAUCCCCGGUAGAGGCUGCAAGAAAUUUUCAUAACAAUUUUCAUGUGACGGCUGAAACAUUACGCAGUCGUUUCUCCUUGACAAGAAAAGAGAGAGCAGCGUUGGGGGAUAAUGUCGACAUUUCCACUCCCAAUGACGGUGAUGUAUAAUGCUCAAGUAUUCUCCUGCUUUUUUACCACUAACUAGAAACUGGGUUUGGCCUUGAUUCAGACAGCCUUGGCUCUGUCUGGACAGGUCCAGACAACUGACACCAUUAACACUUUGUCAGCCUCAGUGACUACAGUCAUAGAUAAACAGGCCUCAGCUAAUGUCAAGAUACAGAGAGGUCUCAUGCUGGUUAAUCAACUCAUAGAUCUUGUCCAGAUACAACUAGAUGUAUUAUGACAAAUAACUCAGCAGGGAUGUGAACAAAAGUUUCCGGGAUUGUGUGUUAUUUUCCAUUCAGUAUGUUAAAUUUACUAGGGCAGCUAAAUUGUCAAAAAGUCUUUUUCAGUAUAUGUUACAGAAUUGGAUGGCUGAAUUUGAACAGAUCCUUCGGGAAUUGAGACUUCAGGUCAACUCCACGCGCUUGGACCUGUCGCUGACCAAAGGAUUACCCAAUUGGAUCUCCUCAGCAUUUUCUUUCUUUAAAAAAUGGGUGGGAUUAAUACUAUUUGGAGAUACACUUUGCUGUGGAUUAGUGUUGCUUCUUUGAUUGGUCUGUAAGCUUAAGGCCCAAACUAAGAGAGACAAGGUGGUUAUUGCCCAGGCGCUUGCAGGACUAGAACAUGGAGCUUCCCCUGAUAUAUCUAUGCUUAGGCAAUAGGUCGCUGGCCACUCAGCUCUUAUAUCCCAUGAGGCUAGUCUCAUUGCACGGGAUAGAGUGAGUGUGCUUCAGCAGCCCGAGAGAGUUGCACGGCUAAGCACUGCAAUGGAAAGGCUCUGCGGCAUAUAUGAGCCUAUUCUAGGGAGACAUGUCAUCUUUCAUGAAGGUUCAGUGUCCUAGUUCCCUUCCCCCAGGCAAAACGACACGGGAGCAGGUCAGGGUUGCUCUGGGUAAAAGCCUGUGAGCCUAAGAGCUAAUCCUGUACAUGGCUCCUUUACCUACACACUGGGGAUUUGACCUCUAUCUCCACUCUCAUUAAUAUGGGUGGCCUAUUUGCUCUUAUUAAAAGGAAAGGGGGAGAUGUUGGGAGCCGCCCCCACAUUCGCCGUCACAAGAUGGCGUUGACAUCCUGUGUUCUAAGUGGUAAACAAAUAAUCUGCGCAUGUGCCAAGGGUAUUUACGACUACUUGUACUCUGCUUUUCCCGUGAACGUCAGCUCGGCCAUGGGCUGCAGCCAAUCAGGGAGUGAUGCGUCCUAAGUGAAGGGUCACUCCUCCUUAAAGGGGACGGGGUUUUCCGCCACUCUCUCUCGCUGGCAUCUCUCUGGCUCUGCGCGCCCGGCGCUCGCUCGCUGCCUAAAGAUGUAAACAAUAGAGCACGCUCUGCGCUUUGGCGCGCCGGAGCUCUGGCUCCUAAAAAUAUUGAGGGGCUUUCGUUUCUGGGGCUGGGCGCUGGGCACUUGCUCUCCUGGCUCCCAAAGAUGUUAGCAAUAAAGUUUUGCCGCAGAA